GGCGGGCGGCGGGCGCCCGGGGAGUGCGCGCGCGGGGUCACCGAGCCCCCGCCAACGCGCCUCGCUCCUUGGCACUCGGCAGCGCUGUUUACGAGAUCGGCUUUUUUUUUUUUUUUUUUUUUGUCUUUUGGUUCCAGGGCAGAGCUGCUCAGAUUUAACAACUGGGAGAGACUGGAAGAGGGAGGUGGCAAACAGGAGAGCUCACUGUGGGGUAGGGUGGGGCAAGUAUGAACAGUGUAGCAUUUAAAGGGCCGAGAAACAUGAACGAUUGCCUUGCACCAAAUCCUCGUGAAUUCGUCACCUUCCUUUCAGGGCCCAAUAGGAUGGGGACUUGGGGUAUGUUGGGAGGGGUGCUGGGAUGGAGAUAAUCUCCCAGGAAGGGUUUUUUGUGGGUCCCGAGGUGGGGACCUCCUCUGUUUCAGGCGGCUUGGGGAAGCCCCUGGGACUUGAAUGGCAGUAUAUUUUUGCAUUUCAGUUUGGACCAACAAUUGUGGCCUCCAGGGUCUGGGUGGGCUUCAGGCCUGCUCCACACACUUUUAGAAAGUAGUUUAGACCUGUGUGUCCCAACCAGGGAAGAAAAAGGUCCUUUGAGGGGAAGGCCACUGGGUGUGUUUGUAUUUGGCGGCUUUGGUGUCCUGGUGCUGCGUUGGCAGGCGGUGGGUGUUUGUCUGGUGGCAGAGCUGCUCACUUGCAGCUGUGAAGGGAGUGCUGCGUGUUGUGUGUCGGGUUUAUGACUUGUGCAUCCACCUCCGUGUGGCUGGAGCGAGUAUGCCUCUGUGCCCGUUUGGGUGUUCUGUGCCAGGGUCCCCUUGGGGUAUAGGAGCCCAGUGGUAACGUGCCUGCUUUUGUGCCCUGCAUGUUGACAACAUGUGAGAGUGUCUCCAAGGAGGUGUGUGUCAGAUUGUGAGUCCAGGCUUCGCAGCCCUGGGCCUCGCAGCUGGGAGUGUUUACAGCCGGUUAUAAAGAGUUUGUUUGAAGCUCCGCUCAGCCUGGCCAGGAAUUUCCUCAAUUUCAGCAAUUUGGGCUUUAAAAGGAGAAAAACCCAGAGCCCACCCCCCUCCUCCCCAGCAGGGGCCCCUGCUUAGCCCAGGAGCGGCAUCCCCCGUGGUGGGCUCUCUGCCCAGGGCUGAGAAGGGAAUCUGAGUGGAGUUGACCCGAUUAGCCUUCCUGCGCCCUUGGCCCCCAGACUGACCCAGACUGGGCUGCACUUUAGGGUUCGGGGGUGGGAGUGUGCCAGAGGGGUGCUGAGAAGGGGUGACAGUACCAUGUAGAUGAGAAAAGCUGCCCCUGGGGGGCCUCUCUCCCUGCCACUGCCGCUGCCCCCAGUCUCCUAAUUGGCUGGCACUGGCCCAUGCCAGUCUGACCGCACCCAGGUCCUUUCGCAAGAGAGGAAGUGAGGCAGCGCUCUGCGGGCAGGGAGGGCGUCAGCGCCAAGUGAGCACCACCCCACGCAAUGGCCUGUGGGCAGCUCAGUGCCCUCGGCACCAUCCUGAAAAGAUUCCAGCACCCCACCCCCCACCCCCCAGCUCUCAGCACCAGGCCCCCUGGGACCUCCCACCCGGUCCUGAAUAGACUCUGGGCACCCUUCUUACGUUCCCUCCUCUCUCUCCCUUUUCAUGGGGGAAUCUCACUCCAGCUGGAUUCUUAUGCUAAUCGAGUGUCUGGUGUGUUGGGGGGCGGGGAGGGCUUCCCUCCUGUGGGGAGGGUGGAGCUAGCCCGGAACCCCAGCAUCCCGGGCAUUCCUUCUGUCCUGCUGGAGGCCGGGGUGGACUUCUGACCAGGUGGGCUGCAGCGGGCUAGAAGGAGGAAGGUGUUCCUGAGCGGUGGAGACGCAGAGCACUAGCUCAGAGGAGAUGGUGCCCAGCUCGCCCUCGCCCCCUCCACCUCCCCGGGUCUACAAGCCGUGCUUCGUGUGCAAUGACAAGUCCUCUGGCUACCACUACGGGGUCAGCUCUUGUGAAGGCUGCAAGGGCUUCUUCCGCCGCAGCAUCCAGAAGAACAUGGUGUAUACAUGUCACCGCGACAAAAACUGUAUCAUCAACAAGGUGACCCGGAAUCGUUGCCAGUACUGCCGGCUACAGAAGUGCUUUGAAGUUGGCAUGUCCAAGGAAGCUGUGCGGAAUGAUCGGAACAAGAAGAAGAAAGAGGUGAAGGAAGAAGGGUCGCUUGACAGCUAUGAACUGAGCCCCCAGUUAGAAGAGCUCAUCACCAAGGUCAGCAAAGCCCAUCAAGAGACGUUCCCCUCGCUCUGCCAGCUGGGCAAAUACACCACGAACUCCAGUGCAGACCACCGCGUGCAGCUGGAUCUGGGGCUGUGGGACAAGUUCAGUGAGCUGGCCACCAAGUGCAUCAUUAAGAUCGUGGAGUUUGCCAAGCGGCUGCCCGGCUUUACAGGGCUCAGCAUUGCUGACCAGAUCACUCUGCUCAAGGCUGCCUGCCUGGACAUCCUGAUGCUGCGGAUCUGCACAAGGUACACCCCGGAGCAGGACACCAUGACCUUCUCUGAUGGGCUGACCCUGAACCGGACCCAGAUGCACAAUGCUGGCUUCGGGCCCCUCACAGACCUCGUCUUUGCCUUUGCUGGGCAGCUCCUGCCACUGGAGAUGGAUGACACAGAGACAGGGCUGCUCAGCGCCAUCUGCCUCAUCUGCGGAGACCGCAUGGACCUGGAGGAACCCGAGAAAGUGGACAAGCUGCAGGAGCCAUUGCUGGAAGCCCUGAGGCUCUAUGCCCGGCGGCGGCGGCCCAGCCAGCCCUACAUGUUCCCGAGGAUGCUCAUGAAGAUUACCGACCUCCGGGGCAUCAGCACCAAGGGAGCGGAAAGGGCCAUUACCCUGAAGAUGGAGAUUCCAGGCCCAAUGCCUCCCCUGAUCCGAGAAAUGCUGGAGAACCCCGAAAUGUUUGAGGACGACUCCUCGCAGCCUGGCCCCCACCCCAAGUCCUCCAGUGAGGACGAGGUUGCCAGGGGCCCGGGCAAAGGGGGCCGCAGCCCCCACCCCGACCAGGGCCCCUGACUUCCCCUGCCGCGGGGUUUGGGGCUCCAGGCAGCAGACUGACCAUCUCCCAGACGCGGCCGGUGCCUGGGGGAGGACCUGCUCUGCCCUCUCCCCGCCCCUUCCAAUGAGCUCCUUGUUUUUGCCAAAGUUUCCAGGGGUGCCUCUGUGUUCAUCCCCUUCCUGCUCUGACCGGCUCCCUCUGCAGACUUGGGGGCCUGCCCUGGUCCCUCCAGGAGAGCGGUCAGGGGGCGAGCCUGGGUUUGGACUCUCAAAUCGCAACACUGCCCCACAGACCCCAGGGUCCCAGGCUCCCCAGGGCAGGAGGGCGACCCUGCCAUUCCACAGCCCCUCCCUCUGCCAGGUGCUUAGGCCUCUGGGAGCAAACAGGAACACUAGACACCAAAAGGGAGCGGGGGCUGGGGGGGGGCUGAGCCCACCCUCUUGCCCUUGGUGCCUAAUGCUGCAUAAGGCACCUGCCAGGUGCAUGCUGCCCGCUAUGCCCCAUCCUCGUGCCAGUCAGGGUGGGGCGGGCCGGGCCCUGCGUGUCUGUGGGGGCGGGGGGUAGGGGUGCAGAGGGUGAAGGGACCGAUGCAGGUCCGUUCUGCACCUCUUUGCUUGGGCCCGGCCUUUACCGUUACAAGCCCCUACCCCAGUCCUGUCAUGUGCCUUGGGCUCCCCCUGCCCCCCAUCUCAGCCAUGGGGCAGGGACCCUCCUACACUACAGAGGGGCCAGGGGAAUCCCUCUCCCCCUAGUGCCUUCCCCCUUGACCCCAGAGCAGCUUGGUCCAGGGAGAGGGGGGUGGGCACUGCUUAGCUGAUCCCGCCCUGACCCAGAGGAAGCCUCUAUUUAUUUAUUAGCUUUUGUUUACACCCUGGAAUUGACCCCUUCCUCCGGGGGUCUUGGGAGGGGGAGCCCAGGGCCCCUGUGACCCCUCCCUUCUCCCUCCAGUCCCCAGUUUGUAUUUAGCUGCCAAAUAAGAGUCCCACUGGCUCCCCUUUUUUCUCUGGGGGGUCAGGGUGCUGUCCCCUCCCCUCUGUUUACAUCUCCCCCCUUCACCGCGCUGUAUCGCAUAUUGCUGAGUUUUCUAUUUUUGCAAAAUAAAGUGAUGGAAACUCA